GUCAUUGUGGAUAGUGUCGUUCGUGAGCAGAGAACAUAGAAAUAAGCAAAUCACGAUUUGCAAUUGGUGUAAUAUAUCACGAGAUUAAUGACAGCUGUUUGGCUAAAGGAAAUUGCAAACUUUCCUGGUUCAAUUUUUUCAAGAAAGGAGUCAAACACAUUCUCACGAUGUGCUUUAUGAUGCAUACAUUAAGAAUUACUAUUUUUGCAAUUUUUAUCUCAAAUAUUUUAACAAAACCUGAGAAUUUAAUUAGGUUUGAUAAACCUGAUAAUCAAAAAAAAGCAUUCAUCAUAAAAUUCAAUUAAGAAAUAAUACAUAUAUAACGGAGGAGAAAAUUAAUGACAGUGAUGAUCCAAUAACUAUUGUUUAUAUUGGAGCUGGUCUUUUCUUUAUAUAUGUUAUAUUAGGAAUAAUAUAUGUACUAAACCAUCGAUUUCGGUGGUGUAAUUACAGACGUCUAUGUGACAGACGGUAUAUCAGAAGAGCUUGUCUUAUCUUUAGAGAAUGUUGCAUUGAGUACAUUCAUAACUUUCCGAAUGAUCCUCCUGCACCCGAGCCCAUAAUCCGUUAUCAACCAGAAGCAGCUGAUUAUCGAGAUAUAUAUCAAAUACCUGAUAGCCCAGUGUAAAGUGUCCAUCACAUUUAAUUUGAGAAUUAGGCAUUAAUAUUAUUGCAAAUUGAUUUAUAAAUUAAUAGUAAUUAUGAAUAGAAUUAAAAUUUCCAACAUAUCAUUAAAGUGCAAUUACUACUUUAUUAAGUUCGAUCUGCAACUUUAAGCCGUCAACAUUAGACAGUGCAUAUUUUGCGCGUAACUUGUUCAUAAGAUAAAAUAAUUUUUGACAAGCAUAUAUAGGGUGCAAUGACAAUAUAAAAUUGUAUCACAUAGUAAAAU